rnacentral:rRNA from 1 species
UACGGGAGGCGCAGUGGGGAAUAUUGCACAAUGGGCGCAAGCCUGAUGCAGCCAUGCCGCGUGUAUGAAGAAGGCCUUCGGGUUGUAAAGUACUUUCAGUCGUGAGGAAGGUGUUAAGGUUAAUAACCUUAGCAAUUGACGUUAGCGACAGAAGAAGCACCGGCUAACUCCGUGCCAGCAGCCGCGGUAAUACGGAGGGUGCGAGCGUUAAUCGGAAUUACUGGGCGUAAAGGGCACGCAGGCGGUUAAUUAAGUUGGAUGUGAAAUCCCCGGGCUUAACCUGGGAAUGGCAUUCAAGACUGGUUAGCUAGAGUCUUGUAGAGGGGGUAGAAUUCCAUGUGUAGCGGUGAAAUGCGUAGAGAUGUGGAGGAAUACCGGUGGCGAAGGCGGCCCCUGGACAAAGACUGACGCUCAUGUGCGAAAGCGUGGGGAGCAAACAGGGAUUAGAUACC